GACGAACGCUGGCGGCGUGCUUAACACAUGCAAGUCGAACGGAAAGAGAUGAAAGAGCUUGCUCUUUUAUUAAUUUCAGUGGCAAACGGGUGAGUAACACGUAAACAACCUGCCUUAAGGAUGGGGAUAACAGACGGAAACGACUGCUAAUACCGAAUACGUUCUAAGCAUCGCAUGGUGCAUAGAAGAAAGGGUGGCCUCUACAAGAAAGCUAUCGCCUUAAGAGGGGUUUGCGACUGAUUAGGUAGUUGGUGAGGUAACGGCUCACCAAGCCGACGAUCAGUAGCCGGUCUGAGAGGAUGAACGGCCACACUGGAACUGAGACACGGUCCAGACUCCUACGGGAGGCAGCAGUGGGGAAUCUUCCGCAAUGGACGAAAGUCUGACGGAGCAACGCCGCGUGAACGAAGAAGGUCUUCGGAUUGUAAAGUUCUGUGAUUCGGGACGAAAGGGUUUGUGGUGAAUAAUCAUAGACAUUGACGGUACCGAAAAAGCAAGCCACGGUAACUCGC
rnacentral:rRNA from 1 species